AACGAACGCUGGCGGCAUGCCUAACACAUGCAAGUCGAACGAAGGCUUCGGCCUUAGUGGCGCACGGGUGCGUAACGCGUGGGAAUCCGCCCUUUGGUUCGGAAUAACAGCUGGAAACGGCUGCUAAUACCGGAUGAUGACGAAAGUCCAAAGAUUUAUCGCCAGAGGAUGAGCCCGCGUUGGAUUAGGUAGUUGGUGGGGUAAAGGCCUACCAAGCCGACGAUCCAUAGCUGGUCUGAGAGGAUGAUCAGCCACACUGGGACUGAGACACGGCCCAGACUCCUACGGGAGGCAGCAGUGGGGAAUAUUGGACAAUGGGCGCAAGCCUGAUCCAGCAAUGCCGCGUGAGUGAUGAAGGCCCUAGGGUUGUAAAGCUCUUUUACCCGGGAAGAUAAUGACUGUACCGGGAGAAUAAGCCCCGGCUAACUCCGUG
rnacentral:rRNA from 1 species